ACUACACACCGCGGGGGCUCUCACGAUGACCGAGGGCUGAGAUGGCGACGGGCGGUCGCCGACCGCUCGAACCUGUCCGGGUAAUGCCGGCGUAGGGAGUUGAGCCAUGGGUACA
rnacentral:ncRNA from 2 species